GUCAUUUCUGUUGAUGCUUCCCCAGCUGACAGGCAUAACUGCAUAUCAUGAGACACCUACUUCAGGACAGUCUCCUGGUUACCUCUGCUGUACCUUGUUCAAACUAGGGACUUUCAGUUCUUUAGAUUUAUGCACUAGCCAUGUUUGUCAAAGUAUUUGGCACCAGUGACAUCAUCUUUGUUGAAAUGCCGGACAGCGUGAUGAGUCCCAGAUGUUGUUAACACACACCAAAAGCAGAGAAAGAAUAAAAUCCAAAGGUCAACGAUAACAGCUAUGGAGGACUGUGCUUAGUUUACAUUCUCAUGUUGAUAGAUGAAGAAUGUUGGGUUUUGGUCAAGGGCUUAUAAAGCUGUUGAACUUUACAGGCAUGGAAAUCCACCAAGGCUGACUCAGGAAAUCUAAAUUUUGCUGCUUUCCCAGAUUUCUGAAUCCUGGUAGCAUGGAAAACUCCCUGGUAUUUGAGAUAUGCAAGUAGUCUCCCAGCAUAUGAUGUGAAUACUGACAUCUUAAAUGUUCCAAAAUUCCUGCUUUUGCCUCUCUUGCUGGUGAUACCAGUGGAAAAGAGCAUAUUCUACACAACUCCAGAAGUUAAGCUUUGUAUUUUAAUGAACUUGCAGUUCUUCCCUUGGAAAUAGAAGAUAUAAUACUGAAACAACUACAGAUUCUCAUGUGACUAUGAGAAUACAUGGCAGUCAAAUGAAACACUGUCUCAAGAAAGUUGGCUGUAGACAAAAUUUCCACAGACACCAAAGGAUCUGUUCCUCCAAACAACUCCUGUUUUCCUGGGUAUCUGUCAACUGGUCACAUUCGGAGACACUGGGAAGGUAAUGUGCUUUGAAGAUUUUGUUUCCUGCUCAUUGCCUGAAUGGGAAACUGCUGAGUUUCAUCUCCUCCCUGCCACAGUUAACUCCAGGACAUUAGAAAAGAUCCCAAGCCCCAGAGGUUGGAUUAAGAUCUUCACUUCUUCAACAGCUGAUGUCAGUGGCUCCUAGCAUUUGGUCUGCAUUUCUUCCCACUCAGUCUGAGACAGCUUCCAAAUAGAAUCCCUCAGCCUAACAAGCAAGCAGGUCUUCGAGGCAGCUGUUUCUGCUGUUGUGCCCCUAAUGAGUGAGCCCUAAAGAAGGCCCCACCCCCUAAGAUGUGACUUUGGCGGGGAAGAGGAUGGACGUAGACCCUCAGCCCCCUAUCAAUUUACCUUGCCUGGAUUAUCAAUGCAGAUGUUAAAAUAAUUGAAGGUGUGGUAGGAGAUACAACCCCUAAUAGCUUUUCCAAUAUGGAGAUUACCUAGGCAGAGAAUGCCAGAGUACCUGAAGAAUAGGCAUACAAACACAUUCAAGACACUGUGUGGAGUCCUGAGGGCAAAAAGAAAAGAGUUCUAUAUGAAGGUGGAAUGAAAAGAUUGCACUACCUUGCGAGAAGUGUGUGAAUAUAAGAAGCUAUUUUGAACUGAGGAGUCUAAAGAAAAGAUUUUGGAACAAAUUGGAUGAAAUCAACAGGACCUAAUUGUGAAGAUUGGAUGAUAUUUUUCCAGGUACAAAGGGUGACUAGUGUGGUGAUCAAAGAAAAGGACAACUAUCUGAAAAGAAGCUGGGCCUGACAAAGCAAAGGUUGAGAGCAGAUACAAUUGGUGUCUGUAAAUAUAUGAUGAGGAACAUCUGGUGCCACCAUAUUGUCCAGAACCUCAUGAAGUGCACCUGCCCAGAAGAAACAUCUGGCUCCAUCUCAGCAAGGGAACAGAGCCAGAAUGUGUCUAUACAUGAACUGGAAUUUAUGGAAGCCAUGAAAGCUAAUCAUAUGCUAUGGUUCAAUGGACCUGGAGUUAGAAGCUUGUAUUCCUUCCAUAGCUGGGUAAGAGAUGGGCCUUUCCAGGGCAGGAUUCAUGAAAGAUGAAAGAGACCUCAGGAUCAUCUCAAAUAAUGCCAUCUGUCUGUAUACCAGACUCUUGAUGCUAGAUGUCAAGCCAGAGCAACAAUUUACUGUUUUAAAACAAAGGACCUCUUCCUUGGAACUGGUAAAGUAUGCCAUUAUUUUCCAAUCAUUCCCUACUUCCCUUUUAUCAUCAGCCUCCUCAUGGACCAAGUGUAUAACAGCAGAGAAUUUGUCCUUUAAUUCUAUGAGCACAGUGAGACUGUUGACUGAUGAUUCAACUUGCUGAGUGGUGGUCCUUUGAGUUUUCUUCUCUCCAAAGAAUUGUGACAAAAAUACAGUAUGUAAAUAGUUUCACAGCUUUCAAAUGAGUAUAUUACUGAAUUAGUACACUACAGAUUAAAAGAAGAUACACAUUAGUAAAAGAAAAAAAGAAUUGCCAAGUCUCGGGAUACAAGCUAAUCUUCCGCUUAAUUGGCUAAUAGCGAAGAAAAGUUCAGUAGGUUAUGAUACAGCUGCACAGUGUAUGUUUUUUGUUGUUGUUUUGUGUGUUUGUUUGUUUGUUUCUUUGUAAUGUCUGGUACUAGGUGAUAUGAGUCCGAACAAAAGAUUGAAAACAAAUGCAGAAUUUUUAUAGUCUGUAUCUUGCUCAGGUGUAAAGAUGGAUUUGGAGCUGGCCUUGCAAUAGGGAUGGAGAGCUCUUGUGCUCUAAGAAAAGAAUGUUUAUUAACCUUAAUUAUGUGGGUAUUUCCAUUUAUUUUUGAAAAAAUAUUACUUAAAUAGAGCUAUGCUUUUAAAAAAUCCUUAAUCUGUAUACAGAAGGUAUAUGACUGUAAGGCUUUAGGCACAAAAAUAAAUGCUGAAAUGACAGACAUUUCAAGCAAAUGAAUUUCAUGAAAUGUAACCUAACUUUCUUGACAUUUUCUUAAAGUUCCAAAAAUAUAGAAAAUGAGAAGGGAAAAUCAGAAAAUGUUUCACUAGGACAAAAAUCAGCCUUAAGUGCUCAAGUCUCAACAGAAAAAAAAGACUAUAUGCUAAGAACAGUAAUUUGUGUAUCAGUUACUUUUCUUUUUUAAUUAAAUAACAAUAAAAAAUUGGAUGUUUCUCUUGAAACAGUGCAACUGACUAAAGACAAUAAUUCUUGUCGCUAUGGCUGAAAAUAAUUCUUUAAAACAGUGGUUCAGAAGAAUCAUGACAAUAGAUAUUGCAUUCCUAGAUUAAUUUAUUUUGAUUAAUUAUAAAUGAUUUACUCUUCUGUAAAAUGCCCCUCCACCCACAUAAGCACACCUACUUAUUGUUUGUAUUUGAAGCUUAGGAAAUCAAAAAUGACAUGCAAAGUGUUUCAAGGAUAAAUCAGACAGAUGUGUAUAUAUGAGUGUAUAUAUACAUAUGAAAUAUGUAUACAUACAUAUAUACACCUGUAUGUUAUACCCCAUCUAUCACUAUAGUGAGCUUUUUGCUCUUCUUACCAAUAGAUAGUGGUAAUUAUCUGCGUAUACAUACAUGUAUGAAAAAGGGAGAACAGAUGUCCAUGAUUAUGUAAGUUAUGGUAAUUAACAGUACAUAAAUGAAUCAAAUUUCUUUUUGUUGGUGUCACUUGCACACUGCUCCUCUUGAGCAUUGGGUUACAUCCUGUACACGAUCGCCUUAUUGUCUACUGUCAUAAAAAUUCCAGUUUUGUUUCUGAGCAGUCACAGAAUGGGACUUGCCAGCUGUCAUGGAAAAUGUAUUCAGUUUUGUUUCCACUUAAUUUAUCUAAUCUUAAUUCUAUUAUUAUUUUAUUAUAAUUAUUUAAAUGCUUGGGGCAACAAUUUAAAGUAAAAACAAAUAAACAGUAGGAGAUCCAGAUAAUUUGUAAAUGAUCUGAAAGGUCUAAUGGAAACAACAUCAUUAUUGCAGUUUUAUUUUUUGAAAGGUCAAUAUUAUAGAAGCUUCAUCAUUGCUGCUAUAGUUAACAGUCUGUCAACAUUGACAUGUAAAAUUCCCACUUCAUGAGAUGAAUGGCUAAACUAUAAAAACUCACUUUGGACAGGAAAAAAAAAAAAGUUGUGAAAUAGUGUUUAGAUGUUCAAAACCUUGUAACUACAGGCCUGAUAUCAUCCUCAUUUUUAGUGCUAUAAACUUGAAACACAGGAGAGCAUUCAAGACCAUUCCUGUUCUGAUCAGCACUUUCAUGUAAGGGAACAUGCUAGCUUCCUCAACCGCAAUGCAAUCCAAAUGCAGGCUUAAAGGUCCGACAAUCCAAGUGUUGCAUCAAACUACGAACUUGUGGAUUGUUCUCCUGGGCUCUGCUGCUCAUCUCACUUCAAUCCCUUCAGCAAAAACUGUGAGUAGCUGCAUUCAGAGCAGUGCAAAGCAAUUGUCUCACAUAUGAAGCAUGGCUUUGUAGGGUUUUAAGUUUAAUUACAACCUUUAGCUUCCAUUUAUUUUCUGACCCCAGUCACUGUUGCUGUCACAAAUGUGAAACCCACCAUGUCUACUGAGUUUGUGUAACCACAGAGUCCUCAUUACUCAUUUUACUUCAUCACCUUUCUUGUCUUGCCUUGAUCCUCUCCAUAACAUGGUGUCAUGGUUCUGCUUGAGUGGGCAGCCGAGCUCCACCACAGCCGCUCUCUCACUCCCCCUCCUCAGAGAGGAAUGGGGAGAAAAUAUGUGAAAAGGGCUCAAAGGUUGAGAUAAGGACGAGAA